ACAAGCAUGAAAGGUUUUCUCCUCUUUAUCGCUUCCCUCUUCUGCUUUGGGGGUGUGAUUAUUGCCGAGCCCAGUGAGGGACUGUGCC
rnacentral:ribozyme from 1 species